UACGGAGGAUGCGAGCGUUAUCCGGAUUUAUUGGGUUUAAAGGGUGCGUAGGCGGGAUGCCAAGUCAGCGGUAAAAAUGCAGUGCUCAACGCCGUCGAGCCGUUGAAACUGGCGUUCUUGAGUGGGCGAGAAGUAUGCGGAAUGCGUGGUGUAGCGGUGAAAUGCAUAGAUCUCACGCAGAACUCCGAUUGCGAAGGCAGCAUACCGGCGCCCUACUGACGCUGAGGCACGAAAGCGUGGGUAUCGAACAGG
rnacentral:rRNA from 1 species